CGGCUACUACGUCUACGGAUGGCAGCAGGCGCGUAAAUUACCCAAUCCUGACUCAGGGAGGUAGUGACAAGAUAUAUCGGGGCGACUUUAAAUCGCAAUUGAAGUGAGGGUAUUCUAAAAAUAGCUUCGAGUACGAUUGGAGGGCAAGUCUGGUGCCAGCAGCCGCGGUAAUUCCAGCUCCAAUAGCGUAUAUUAAAGUUGUUGCAGUUAAAAAGCUCGUAGUUGGAUUUCAAGAGUCGCAACUGAUCUCGUACCGGCUUGCUCUCUACGGUCUCAGGACUGUUACUGUGAGAAAAUUAGAGUGUUUAAAGCAGGCAAUUGCAGGAAUAUAUUAGCAUGGAAUAACGAAUGUGUCUACAAUUUGGUCAAUUGUGGAUUUCAAUUAAUAGGGACAGUUGGGGGCAUUAGUAUUUAAUUGUCAGAGGUGAAAUUCUUGGAUUAGUUAAAGACUAACGUAUGCGAAAGCAUUUGCCAAGGAUGUUUUCAUUAAUCAAGAACGAAAGUCGGGGGAUCAAAGGCGAUCAGAUACCGUCGUAGUCCCGUACUAUAAACUAUGCCGACUAGGGAUUGGAGUGAUGCAAAAUCAUUUCAGUACCUUAUGAGAAAUCAAAGUCUUUGGGUUCUGGGGGGAGUAUGGUCGCAAGACUGAAACUUAAAGAAAUUGACGGAAGGGCACCACCAGGAGUGGAGCCUGUGGCUUAAUUUGAUUCAACACGGGGAAACUUACCAGGUCCAGACGGAGUUAGGAUUGACAGAUUGAUAGCUCUUUCUUGAUUCUUUGGGUGGUGGUGCAUGGCCGUUCUUAGUUGGUGGAGUGAUUUGUCUGGUUAAUUCCGAUAACGAACGAGACCUUAACCUGCUAACUAAUCUUAUCCAUUUCAUGGUUACAGAUUUCUUAGAGGGACUAUGCUACGAUGAGUGCAUGGAAGUUUGAGGCAAUAACAGGUCUGUGAUGCCCUUAUAUGUCCUGGGCUGCACGCGUGCUACACUGAUACAUACAGCAAGUUCCUAGCUCGAUAGAGUAUGGUAAUCUCGAAUAUGUAUCGUGAUGGGGAUAGAUCUUUGCAAUUAUAGAUCUUGAACGAGGAAUUCCUAGUAAAUGUAAGUCAUCAUCUUACAUUGAUUAUGUCCCUGCCCUUUGUACACACCGCCCGUCGCUCCUACCGAUACCGGGUGAUGAGGUGAACUUUUUGGACUGAAUUUCAGGAAGAUACGUAAACCUUAUCACCUAGA
rnacentral:rRNA from 1 species